UUUGAUGGUACGAUAAAGGUUAUAACUGUUCAUUUCUAAUUAUUGAAUCGAAGAUUCACAUUAUUUGCAUUCUGGAAAAAAAAAAUUGAUUUCAGUAUGAUUCUCGUUGUUUACUUCCUCAUAGUAGCCACAAUUUUCUCAGUCAAUGCUUACUACGAUGGUGAUCUUGUGACUAGAUUGUAUGAUACAGGCGACCUUCAUCCUGCAGACGAACACACUAUGUGGCAGGUCAACCCCAAGCUCAGCAAAGAUUAUCGAGGUAAUACUUUUCUAGCUCUCAAAUUGAUGAAAAAAUUUGGGAGUGAUGCAGUCAAACUCCAGAUUAAAAAAAUUCUUUAUGGGCCAGAUGACCAAGGAAGGGUGAAGGUAUCUGGUGCUUUCGAUUGGAAUAUAUGAGUCCUAUAUGCAAAUCAAUACCUUUUCGAAUUGUUAAAUAUUAAUUGAUUCAGAAUUAUACAUUCAUAAUUUAUUGUA